GCCAGCUUAGCUCAUCCGGUAGAGCACUUGAAUAGUAAGCAAGAGGUAGGGGGUUCGAUUCCUUCAGCUGGCACCA
rnacentral:tRNA from 1 species